UGAUACACCAGUUGGCCCACAGUCAUGCCAAACAGCAGUGCUGAAUCUACAGUUGAUGGUGACUGUGUUUCCUGGAACAACAGUUUCCACUGAAGGAGUCUGAGUCACAGUCACCUGACCUCUGGAUCCUGAAGAGAAACAUAGAUUGUGUUUAUUUGUUGUAAAGUGGUGUAGAAUUAGUAUGAGAUGAAGUGUGUGAGGCUGUGAGUUGAUGUUCAACUCUCACCUUGAGUCCAGAGGGCCAGUGUGCAGAUGAAGACGCUGAUCAAAGUCAUGGUUGCUGCGGGUGAAGUUAUGGAGCUGCAGCUCUCAGUCAUGAAGUGUUAAAGUCACAGGGCUAUAAACACUCGCAGAGCACUGAAGCAUGGACUGCUGAUGCAAAGUGUGUGUGAGAGUGUGUGUGUGUGUGUGUGUGUGUGUGUGUGUGUGUGUGUGUGUGUGUGUGUGUGUGUGUGUGUGUGUACUGCAGUGUGACGGAGGUUUUUGUACGAUGGUUUCAUUAGAAUAUAUCACUGUGGACGACUUUUGGUGGAGGCUCCAAACUCGUUAUGAAAACGGGUCGCACAGCUCCCUCCGUGUCUCUGCUCCCUCCGUCCCCUCUGCAGCUGUCUGAGGGAUCGGCCUCGCUGCUCUGCCUGCUGUCUGGCUACUCUCCACAGGGGGCGGUGGUGAGCUGGACAGUGGAUGGCUCAGAGGUGAAGGACGGGGUUCUGACCAGCGCAGAAGAACAGAAGAACGGCCGUUACAGCCGCAGCAGCACCCUGACCCUCAGCAAAGCACUCUGGGAAAAGGAGGAGGAGUUUGUCUGUAGGGUCUCCCAUGACAACGUUAACCAUCCGGUCACGUUCAGAAAGAGUCAGUGUGAAGUCUAACAGCUCCAAGAUAGAGUCUAACACUGAGCUGCUUCUGAUCCAUCUACAAUAGAGUUUCAAUUCUACACAAUGCUGACAUUUCUGUCUUUACUCUCUUCACUGUCCUGUUGCUCUUCCUGUAGUUUUUGCUGAAAUAAAGCUGAGUUUUGGA